rnacentral:misc_RNA from 1 species
AGCAGCCGCGGUAAUUCCAGCUCCAAUAGCGUAUAUUAAAGUUGUUGCAGUUAAAAAGCUCGUAGUUGAAUUUCGGGAUCAAUUAAUCGGUCGUGCCUCUGGUACGCACUGGUUUUAUUGGUUUCUCCCUUCUGACGAACCAGGAUGUCAUUAAUUUGGUGUCUUGGAGAAUCAGGACUGUUACUUUGAAAAGAUUAGAGUGUUUAAAGCAGGCUAACGCUUGAAUACAUUAGCAUGGAAUAAUGAAAUAGGACGUUUGAUCCUAUUUUGUUGGUUUCUAGGAUCGACGUAAUGAUUAAUAGGGAUAGUUGGGGGCAUUAGUAUUCAAUUGUCAGAGGUGAAAUUCUUGGAUUUAUUGAAGACUAACUACUGCGAAAGCAUUUGCCAAGGAUGUUUUCAUUAAUCAAGAACGAAAGUUAGGGGAUCGAAGACGAUCAGAUACCGUCGUAGUCUUAACCAUAAACUAUGCCGACUAGGGAUCGGAUGAUGUUAAUUUUUAAUGACUCACUCGGCGUACCG